rnacentral:rRNA from 1 species
AUUGAACGCUGGCGGCAUGCCUUACACAUGCAAGUCGAACGGUAACAGGUCUUCGGAUGCUGACGAGUGGCGAACGGGUGAGUAAUACAUCGGAACGUGCCUAGUAGUGGGGGAUAACUACUCGAAAGAGUGGCUAAUACCGCAUGAGAUCUACGGAUGAAAGCAGGGGAUCGCAAGACCUUGUGCUACUAGAGCGGCCGAUGGCAGAUUAGGUAGUUGGUGGGAUAAAAGCUUACCAAGCCGACGAUCUGUAGCUGGUCUGAGAGGACGAUCAGCGACGCUGGGACUGAGACACGGCCCAGACUCAUACGGGAGGCAGUAGUGGGGAAUUUUGGACAAUGGGCGAAAGCCUGAUCCAGCAAUGCCGCGUGCAGGAUGAAGGCCUUCGGGUUGUAAACUGCCUUUGUACGGAACGAAAAGCCCCGGGUUAAUACCCUGGGGUCAUGACGGUACCGUAAGAAUAAGCACCGGCUAACUACGUGCCAGCCGCCGCAGUAA